AGAACAACAACAGCCUGGUCUGGAGCCAGCGCCAACUUGUGCUUCUUGGAGCCCCUUCCUCGGCCGCUGGCUUCCCGGCCCGCGCCUCCCGGGCGCCCCCGAGCCCACGGCCGAGCGCCCCGGACAGGGCCCGAGCCCGCGGCGCAGCGGAGAGGCGGCCUGCGCCCGGGAAGGGCUCGGCAAAGGGGAACGGAGGGGCGCACCCUAUGCUGCGGGAGCGCGAGUGGAGGGGGGCACCCGGUUUAGGGGCGAAUAGCGCGGGCUCCGGGGGAGGCCACGCGGCCCGGAGCUUUGCGGCCGGCGGCCAAGAGUGCGCCACGGCCUCCCGUGCCCUGAGCGCGGUCUGGGGGGCCCUGGCCUGCCCGCAGGACGAGCUUUAAUUUGUCCGAACUAACACAGGGCACGCCCUCACGUGGUCGGCUGGGGCAAUGUGAAGUGUGCUAGGACAUCUUCGAGGGGGGUCUCCACCCGAGUCCGAGGGGCCGGCGGCUGGAGGCGCCCUCCGACUGCGCGCCCGCGGUCCUGCUAUGCCAAGGGGCCUGAGCACGGCCCGGGAGGACGUGGGGGCCACUGCGGGUGUCUCCCUGCGGACAUUCCCUAACCUCCCCCCACCCCCACCCAACUGGCGCCGAUGCUCCAAAUGCCCCAUUUUGUGGUGCGCAAGUGGCCGCCACCGUUCGCCCCAAAGCCAAAUGGCGGUUCCACGGUGGAGCCGGUUGAGUGUCAGGCUGCGACCCCCCAAGGAGUUCUCCGACGUGAUGGGGGGAGGGGAGGUGCUGGGCCGCACCCCUCCCCCUCGCGGGAGGGGAGGGCGAUUGCGAGCCGGGCCUGGAGACUGCUUUCCCAGCUCCCUCUCUCCUGGUACCAGGCGAAGUCCCCCGCGGGGGCUUGUGCAAGUCUGGAGGCUCUGAUACGGGCGGGAUCCAGCGUGACUGGUGCCCUGGAGGCGCCGGAAGGCAUUUCACGAAGUGAAAGAUGCCUCUACUUGGGGAAGCUGGAUCCAUGGGGAGACACCCCGGGGGGAGAGCUGAUUCCUUCGGGGAGCAAAGCUGGCAGGUGUGGCCCACAGCUUCUCUUCAAGCAUCAUGGCCAAAGAAAUCCUCCCUCCUCACUCCUCCCCAACACUGCAAAAAGCUCACCCUCUGUUCCUACAAGGGAGCUGCAAUCAGAAGGCUGCAGAACUCAGAACUCAAUAGUUCUCAACCUGGGCUGA
rnacentral:lncRNA from 1 species